rnacentral:rRNA from 1 species
GCUCAGUAACACGUGGAUAAUCUACCCUUAGGACUGGGAUAACCUUGGGAAACUGAGGAUAAUACCGGAUAGGCAAUUAUUCCUGUAAUGGUUUUUUGUUUAAACGUUUUUUCGCCUAAGGAUGAGUCUGCGGCCGAUUAGGUAGUUGGUUAGGUAAUGGCUUACCAAGCCGUUGAUCGGUACGGGUUGUGAGAGCAAGAGCCCGGAGAUGGAACCUGAGACAAGGUUCCAGGCCCUACGGGGUGCAGCAGGCGCGAAACCUCCGCAAUGUGAGAAAUCGCGACGGGGGGAUCCCAAGUGCCAUUCUUAACGGGAUGGCUUUUCAUUAGUGUAAAGAGCUUUUGGAAUAAGAGCUGGGCAAGACCGGUGCCAGCCGCCGCGGUAACACCGGCAGCUCUAGUGGUAGCAAUUUUUAUUGAGCCUAAAGCGUCCGUAGCCGGUUUAAUAAGUCUCUGGUGAAAUCCUGUAGCUUAACUGUGGGAAUUGCUGGAGAUACUAUUAGACUUGAGACCGGGAGAGGUUAGAGGUACUCCCAGGGUAGAGGUGAAAUUCUGUAAUCCUGGGAGGACCGCCUGUUGCGAAGGCGUCUAACUGGAACGGUUCUGACGGUGAGGGACGAAAGUUAGGGGCGCGAACCGGAUUAGAUACCCGGGUAGUCCUAACUGUAAACGAUGCGGACUUGGUGUUGGGGUGGCUUUGAGCUGCUCCAGUGCCGAAAGGAAAGCUGUUAAGUCCGCCGCCUGGGAAGUACGGUCGCAAGACUGAAACUUAAAGGA